rnacentral:rRNA from 1 species
CAGGGAAUCUUGCACAAUGGGCGAAAGCCUGAUGCAGCGACGCCGCGUGGGGGAUGAAGGCCUUAGGGUCGUAAACCCCUUUCAGCAGGGACGAAAAUGACGGUACCUGCAGAAGAAGCCCCGGCCAACUACGUGCCAGCAGCCGCGGUAAGACGUAGGGGGCGAGCGUUGUCCGGAUUUAUUGGGCGUAAAGAGCUCGUAGGCGGUUGCGUAAGUCGGAUGUGAAAACUCAGGGCUCAACCCUGAGACGCCAUCCGAUACUGCGCUGACUUGAAUCCAGUAGGGGAGUGUGGAAUUCCUGGUGUAGCGGUGAAAUGCGCAGAUAUCAGGAGGAACACCCAUGGCGAAGGCAGCACUCUGGGCUGGUAUUGACGCUGAGGAGCGAAAGCAUGGGUAGCAAACAGGAUUAGAUACCCAGGUAGUCCCUGAGCGGGCUGGCAAGGCGCAU